rnacentral:lncRNA from 1 species
GAGGACCUUUUUCCUGAAGAUGUAUCUAUGGUGUUGGUUUUGUAGAGUACACUGGCUGUGAUUGGGGGUUUGCACAGUAGUUCAGAUGCUAUACGAUUUCUUUGCUUUUAAAUGGCAUUAAUGGUAUUUUUACAUUUAUAUUGGUAUAUCUGCUACAACAGUGACUUUUUCCUAUUUUUGAAUUUCCUUUCAUGAAGAGGACUUUUUUUCCUGAAGACGUAUCUAUGGUGUUGGUUUUGUAGAGUACAUUGGCUUUGAUUUGGGGUUUGCACGGUAGUUUAGAUGCUGUACGAUUUCUUUGCUUUUAAAUGGUAUUAAUGGUAUGUGUAAUUUUCUUAGUUGGUUAGAGUAUGAUUAUUAUUGGAAGCUCUGGUAAAUUUGUGCUGGGGACUAGGAUGCUAGGCUUGCCUGUCUUCAGGCCUCAGGAGUGUCAGUGGUGGGUUGAGUGUGCCUAUUCUUAUGGCCCAGGGUAGUUCACGUUGACCUCAUAACAUUGUUUGAAUAUUUGUCCCCACCAAAAUCUCAUGUUGAAUUGUAAUUUCCAAUGCUGGAUGCGAGGCCUGGUGGGAGGUGUUUGGACGAUGGGGGCAGGUCCCUCGUGGCUUGGUGUUGUCUUCGUGAUAGUGAGUUCUCACAAAAUCUGCUUAUUUAAAAGUGUGUGGCACCUACCCGCUCAACUCUGUCUCUCAUUGUCGCUUGCUCCUGCUUUCACCAUGCAGCUUCACCAUGCUUGUUUCUCCUUCAUCUUCUGCCAUAAUUGUAAGCUUUCUGAGGCCUCCCUGGGCAGCCUCAGGACACUGCUUCUCAUAUCUAGGAUGCUCAGGCUCCAGCCUUGGCUUAAAGGCACUCAGAUACUACUUCUGCUGCUGCUCUGGAGAGUACAAGCUGCUGUAAGCCUUGACAGCUUCCAAGUGGUGGUGUUAAGCCUGUAGGCACACAGAGUGCAAGAGUGAAUGAUGUUUGGCAUUCUCUGUGUAGAUUUCAGAGGAUGUAGAGAAAAGCCUGGGUGCCCAGGCAGAAGCCUGCUGCAAGGGCAGAGCCUGCAUAGAGAAUCUCUACUAUGUUAGUGCCAAGAGGAAAUGUAGGCCGGGCAUGGUGGCUCAUGCCUGUAAUUCCAGCACUCUGGGGGGGCCAAGGUGGGUGCAUCACCUGAUGUCGGGAGUUCGAGACCAGCCUGACCAACAUGGAGAAACCCCAUCUCUACUAAAAAUACAAAAAAAUUAGCUGAGUGUGGUGGCCCAUGCCUAUAAUCCCAGCUACUUGGGAGGCUGAGCAAGGAGAAUCGCUUGAACCAAGGAGGUGGAGGUUGCAGUGAGCCAAGAUCACACCAUUGCACUCCAGCCUGGGCAACAAGAGCAAGACUCU